AAUGGCACAAGGCCCAAAAAAUAAUGAGCAAAAGAUGAAAGCUAAAACAAAUUUGAGCUGUAAGACUAUUUGCAAUCAUUGUGGUAAAUCUGGAUACUACACUAAACAAUGCAAACAGAAAGCUGUUGCAGGGAAACUGGAAGAAGAGCACAAAGCAGUGUGGGGGGACAACAACCACAAGCUCUCCCAGCACUGAAAAGCUGUCAAUUUGUGGACAAUAUUCAGGGGCCAUAAGGGGCUCCACAGAGGUAAAUACAUAGAUAUACCCACCGUGUACACAGUAGGUAUUGCAAUAAAACAAAUAUGCAAAGUUCCUCAUGAUGCCUAUAGUCCCAUAGGACGCAGGCUGAGUGCUUUUUUGAUAGGGAGAUCAAGCAGUAUUAUUAAAGGUAUUUAUGUACUUUUAGGGAUUAUUGAUGCUGAUUACCUGGGACAAAUUCAUGCUAUUUUAUCUGUUAGUGAACCCCCUGUUAUCAUUCCGAAAGGUACUUGCAUUGCUCAACUUGUUCCCUUUGUGAGUUGUAUUCCAAAUACAGUGAACCGGAGUGGUGGCACUGGAGGUUUUAGAUCUACAAGAGCACCUCGAGUAUUUUGGACUCAGAAAGUGCCAGAGAAAUGUCUGGAAAGAACAUGUGUCAUCACAGCCAAGGGACAUCAUGCAGAGACUAUAACAAUAACAGGAGCUCCAUCACACAUAAAGACAGAUAAUGGCCCAGCCUAUGCUUCUCAAAAACUGCAAAUGGUUUUCUGUGCUUGGGGCAUUGAUCAUUCUACAGGGCCCUGCAGAAAUCCUUGGCAGCUGUGUUUGCUGCUCAAAUACAAAGAAAACGGGGAACUGUGGCUGAGAUGGGUCAGAUGAAAGAGUUAACAGAAAGAAGACAGCAGGAUUCUUGUGUGUCCAUGGGAAGAAGAAAAAGAAGAUAAAGGUAGAGGAAAACAAAGAACAUCAGUGUUGAGAAAAACACCAUGGAAAAACAAGAUCCAUCUCUAUUUUGGAUUUUUGGGGAUACUUUCUCAAAACAGUGCUUCCACCAGUGGACUUGAGGGGUGGUGUGGUGAUGGCAAAUUAAAUGGGGUGCACUAUAAGGCCAGAAGGCUAUAAAAAUGCUGUGUACAGGCACAAUAAAAUCUUGGAUGAAGUUUCUUACGGAUCUGCUUUGUGUCGCGUCUGCUCCCACAGCAACACUGGUCUCUGUAUGAAUUAGGUAUUUUCAGAAGUUCAGAAUAUACAGUGGAAAUUUAGGAUUAUUCAGAUGCAGUUUGAAAGUGAUAAUGGUUUUGAUCUGCAUCUAUGGUGGUAUGUAAA